rnacentral:lncRNA from 1 species
ACGAUGGACGUGAGCGCCUGUGUCGUCUGCUCUACGACCAGCCUCCACGGCCUAUGGUUCCUCGCUGCGGCUACCACGACCUUGACCCCAGCAACCUUCCUCUGCGGGCGUGUGGACUAGCCCCGGCACCAACUCAGCACCAGCAAUCCAUGCAAGGAUUGUUUAGUAUUUCAGAAUUUACGGGUGGAACAGACGCGUGAGCGAGCUGCGGCUCCGUUGCCCCUUCAUCUACGUUGAAGAGGGGCCGCUACUUCAUUUCAUUUCACUCGGGCAGCAUAGAGCCAUUUAUUGAAACUGAUGGCAAUAUCCGUCACCUUGUGGUUUUUCAGUAAAUCAAAGAUUGCUUCA